UACGAAGGGGGCUAGCGUUGUUCGGAAUUACUGGGCGUAAAGAGCGCGCAGGCGGCCAUUCAAGUCAGGGGUGAAAGCCCAGAGCUCAACUCUGGAACUGCCCUUGAAACUGUAUGGCUUGAGUAUGAGAGAGGUGAGUAGAAUUCCCAGUGUAGAGGUGAAAUUCGUAGAUAUUGGGAGGAACACCGGUGGCGAAGGCGGCUCACUGGCUCAUUACUGACGCUCAGGCGCGAAAGCGUGGGGAUCAAACGGG
rnacentral:rRNA from 1 species